GCUUAACUGAGAGACAGACAUGUCGACCAGAUACGAAAGUAGGGCUUAGUGAUCCGGUGGUUGUAAAUGGAAAUGCCAUCGCUCAACGGACAAAAGUUACCCUGGGGAUAACAGGCUUAUCUCCCCCAAGAGUUCACAUCGACGGGGAGGUUUGGCACCUCGAUGUCGGCUCAUCGCAUCCUGGAGCGGAAGUACGUUCCAAGGGUUGGGCUGUUCGCCCAUUAAAGCGGUACGCGAGCUGGGUUCAGAACGUCGUGAGACAGUUCGGUCCUUAUCUAUCGCAGGCGUAAGAUAUUUGAAGAGUGCUGUCCUUAGUACGAGAGGACCAGGAUGGACAUACCAAUGGUGUAUCAGUUGUCUCACCAGAGGCACGGCUGAGUAGCUAAGUAUGGAUUGGAUAAACGCUGAAAGCAUCUAAGUGUGAAGCCAACUCUAAGAUAAGAUAUCUCAUAUCGUAAGGUAGUAAGAUUCCAUAAAGACUAUGUGGUUGAUAGGUUGGAGGUGUAAGUGUAGCGAUACAUUGAGCUGACCAAUACUAAUAAAUCGAGGGCUUAACCAC
rnacentral:rRNA from 1 species